AUUGAACGCUGGCGGAAUGCUUUACACAUGCAAGUCGAACGGCAGCACGGGGGCAACCCUGGUGGCGAGUGGCGAACGGGUGAGUAAUACAUCGGAACGUGCCCGGUCGUGGGGGAUAACGUAGCGAAAGUUACGCUAAUACCGCAUACGAUCUGAGGAUGAAAGCGGGGGACCUUCGGGCCUCGCGCGAUCGGAGCGGCCGAUGUCAGAUUAGGUAGUUGGUGGGGUAAAGGCCUACCAAGCCGACGAUCUGUAGCUGGUCUGAGAGGACGACCAGCCACACUGGGACUGAGACACGGCCCAGACUCCUACGGGAGGCAGCAGUGGGGAAUUUUGGACAAUGGGCGGAAGCCUGAUCCAGCCAAUCCGCGUGGAGGACGAAGGCCUUCGGGUUGUAAACUGCUUUUGUAUGGAACGAAAAGGCUCUGGCUAAUACCUGGGGCUCAUGACGGUACCGUAAGAAUAAGCACCGGCUAACUACGUG
rnacentral:rRNA from 1 species